CUCCAGCUGACGAGUCCCAAAUAGGACGAAACUCGUGUCCUUGAU
rnacentral:hammerhead_ribozyme from 1 species